rnacentral:lncRNA from 13 species
AGUCUGCUGCACAAGCCCGAGCCCCGCAAAUCUCAGGGAGACAGCGCUCCUGUCCAGCGGCCCGCCAGCCAUUUCCCAACCCCGCACCCGGAGGAAUAUCCGCUGGGCCCUGAGUGUAUUCAAGGGAACAAGAACUUCAGGGAAGGCGGCCGCCAGGUGCAGGGCAGCCACCCGCGGGGUGCAACGGACAGCAGAGAGUCUGCGUCACCCGCCCGGGCCUGGCGGCCGCGGGUCCUUACCAUCACCGCUGUGGCUUCCGUGCGUCCAGACCUGGCACAUGGGCGCGGACGACACCCCCUCCGCUCCCCGGAGCCAUUGCUGCUCCCAGGGCUGACAAUCAGGGUGCUCAUUAUAGCACUUAAAAGUAGCGCACAGGAUCUGCCCACCCAUUUCAGCCGAGACAGCGGGGAACCGUUCAGCGCGCGGCGUGGCCGCCCGGGUGAGAACCGGCCUCGGCUCUGGAAGCGGACGCCGACCCGCCCGGGAGCCUCCGGCAGGGGCGCUCCCAGCAACGCACGAAGCACAGGUGACUCGGGGCUCUCUGAGCCCCCCUCCCAGCACCUAUCUUGUGCCAGUGUCCGGAAGGAGCCUUUUGGAUAUGAACUGGGAGCUGUCGCUAUGCUCAAACCCUGCCAUAACUCCCUGUCGGCUCAGGUGAAAGCCCACGUCUGUCCCGCAGCCCCCAAGGACCUACCCUCUCCCCCAUCUGCCCCAUUUCCUCCUUCCCAGCCCCUUGAAUCCCUGGACAGUUUCUCAAAUACCCAGGCCUGCCAACAGCUUGGGGCCUCCCCUCUGGCUGAUCCCCUACCUGGAAGGCUCGCCUGUCACUUUGUCCACAAGGCCAUCUGGUCACCCUCCCUAGCACUCCAGGUCCCUUCACUCUGCUGUGCUGAUUUUUUUCAUAACACGUUUAUCUUCUAGGACACCAGCGUUUACUUACUGUUUGUUUAUUGCUCCGCCUCCUCCCAGGCAACUCCACGGAGGUGAAGUGUUUUGACUCUGCUGUUUGGCAUCUUCCGUCACAAUUGCCUGGCACAGAGUUUGUGUCCAAUAGAUAUUUGCUGAUGGUGGCUGAAUGUGAAGAUGUGGCGCCUGGCUGGCCACAGAAGGAGCUUGCGUUUUGUUCUGUUCACCAGAAUAGGCAGUGGGAGUGUUUAAGCACAGGUGCGAUGUCAGCUGAGUGUGCUUAGGGAGAAGGCCCUGCCUACCCUGGGCAAGAUGGGCUGGGGCUGGGGGAGGAGACACACUCACAGGCAGAGGCCAUCAUCCCUUUUGUCCCGGAGAAAUCCUGGAGCAGGGCUGUCCCUCAAUGGUGUCCUGCAUCAGCACUGCACCUGCAGCGGCCAUGGGCCACGCAUGGCCCUUGAGCACUUGGAAUCUGGCUAGGUGUGGCUGAGAAACUCAGUUUUAAAAUUCACUUUAUUUUAAUUAGUGAGAUUUCCAUAGUGACCUGUGGCUAGUGGCUCAGCGUGGACCAUGGAGUUCUAGAAUCAUCUGGAUGAAGAGACGGUGAUGCAUGGACAAGGCUGGUGGCAGCAGCAAAGGUGAAAGAGAUCACUGUUGGGGUCUCUUUGGGAGGUGGACCCCAUAGGUUGUACUGAAGAUUGGAUUAGGUAUGAGGCAAAGAGGACUCGCAAAGGUGCCCUGGCUUGCACCUGAGUCAUGGAGACAGGGAAGGCUCAGAAGGAAGUGUUGUGGGUGGAAACGGCAUUUCUAUUUUAGCUGUGUGAGUCUGGAGCACAGGAGAGGUCUGGCCUUUGAGGAGAAACAGGAAGGAGGUAACUGCAGGUGGACGGCGCUUUAAUCCCUAGGAGUGGAUGAGACCAAGGAAGGGGAAAGUGUGCCUGGAGCUGCAAAGAGGCUAAGGCGUCAGCCAGGCAUUCCCGGGAGUGAUUAGAUGAUGUUUGUUGUUAUUUGGUGA